CACAGCUUGAGAAUCGGGCGCCACCGGUGUUCGAAUUGUAGUCGGAGAAGCGUCCUCAGCGGUGGACCGGGCCCAAGUCCCUUUGAAAGGGGCACCGGAGAGGGUGAGAGCCCCGUCGUGCUCGGACCCUGUCGCACCAUGAGGCGCUGUCUACGAGUCGGGUUGUUUGGGAAUGCAGCCCUAAUCGGGCGGUAAA
rnacentral:ncRNA from 1 species